rnacentral:lncRNA from 1 species
GGAACACAAGUUAGUUUGAGGCAAGGGUGAAGCAAAGACUUGUGAGCAAAGUUAAAACAUAUUUCAAUCAACUUAUCCAAGCAUGGAGCAUUACAAAAUAUUGAGAACCCAUAAUUCAAAACAUCAUGCCGCAUGCAAAAUCUAUUAUGCAUUAAAAUAUUAAGAACAAGCAUGUCAAGGAUCCAAAUCAAUUCUUUUCAAAUAAACUCCUCCUAUUUAAAUAUAAUCUUGUACUGAUUUCAUCCUUAAAGUGUGUUUUCAAGUGAUUAAAAAAUUUGACUUGAUUCUUCUUAUAUACUUUCAUUUACUUUGUCUUUCAUUUUUACCUUCUUAUGCUCUAUACUCUAUUUGCUCCCUAUCCGAUGGAGUUGGAAGGGGCACGAGGUACUACCACUAGCCUCCCUCUUGUGCCGUCCCUAAUAUACCCUACACCGAAUAGUUGGGCCAAAUAGUGCCGGGUACUACCACUAGCCUCCC